rnacentral:pre_miRNA from 1 species
AGUGGGAUAACUGGGUCAAAUGGUGAUUCCAUUCCAAGCUUCUUGAGGAAUCUCCAUACUUCUUUUCAGAGUGGUUAAACCAUUUUGCAGUCCUACCAUCCAU